CUGGAUUGGAGAGGAGCAGCAUUAUGGUGAUCAAAGUUUAUAUCGCCUCUUCAUCUGGCUCUACAGCACUGAUGUUGAAAUAGUUCAGUAGACGUGCUCAUGCUGCUGAAAUGGAGAGACUGAGGGAAGCAAGUGAUUAAGAAAAAACAGCAAGAAAUAUUGGGAUUCAUGGAGUCUAACAAAAUAGAGUUUCGUGAGUGUGACAUU